CUUAGCAGAGAUGCUUUGGUGCCUUCGGGAACUCUGAGACAGGUGCUGCAUGGCUGUCGUCAGCUCGUGUUGUGAAAUGUUGGGUUUAAGUCCCGCAACGAGCGCAACCCUUAUCCUUUGUUGCCAGCGGUCCGGCCGGGAAACUCAAAGGAGACUGCCAGUGAUAAACUGGAGGAAGGUGGGGAUGACGUCAAGUCAUCAUGGCCCUUACGAGUAGGGCUACACACGUGCUACAAUGGCGCAUACAAAGAGAAGCGACCUCGCGAGAGCAAGCGGACCUCAUAAAGUGCGUCGUAGUCCGGAUUGGAGUCUGCAACUCGACUCCAUGAAGUCGGAAUCGCUAGUAAUCGUGGAUCAGAAUGCCACGGUGAAUACGUUCCCGGGCCUUGUACACACCGCCCGUCACACCAUGGGAGUGGGUUGCAAAAGAAGUAGGUAGCUUAACCUUCGGGAGGGCGCUUACCACUUUGUGAUUCAUGACUGGGGUGAAGUCGUAACAAGGUAAGCGUAGUGCU
rnacentral:rRNA from 1 species